rfam:Chlorocebus sabaeus isolate 1994-021 chromosome 17, whole genome shotgun sequence.
UUCAUAUUAUAAGUAUGCCUCAUGCAAUAUUUAGGACAUACUUAUAAUAAAA